UAUAUGGAUUAUGUAGGUUUUAAAGUGUGAGGGACGAGUUCAGAGACAGAGGCAAGUAAAUGCCUUAAAGAAAGGAAGGAAGAGCAAGUGAUCCCAUCAGGUAGAGUAGAAAAGACUCAGGUGAUGCAGAACUUAAGCUAGUAAUCCCUUCCCCUGCCUGGAGACGAAACAAUCUUCAACUUUGUGUUCAGUUCAUUACAGUAAGUGCUACCAUCUGUGAGAGAGUGACCAGAUUUAGAAAUAGCAAGAUGUGUUCACAUGACUUGUCCAUUUCUCCCAAAGGAAAGCUGUAAAGGCUAUAGAAAAUUUGUAUCCAGAAACUUAAGAUUUACAUCUCCAGCAUAAAAGUGUUGAUUUCUCCACUUAACAGCAUUCAAUGCAACUUCAGUCUGCCAAGUUUGAUGAGAGUACAAAGAUAUAAUACUGGAUGAAUGCAAGUUGAUUUAGGCAGUCAAUGCAAAAAAAGUGAAACAAGUAGACAGUGUCAGGGUGUCCAAUUUGUUUGUCCUUUGUUGGUUAUGCCUGGGUUUCUGGUCAAAUUUAUGCAAAUGGAUUUCCAAAAGGAUCA